rnacentral:siRNA from 1 species
GACAAGUUGAAGGAGUCUGUGGUC